rnacentral:tRNA from 1 species
CUGAAUAGGCGGGCCUUGAUCCCACAACAAAUUAAUUAACAGCUAACCACCCAAACCAGCGGGCUUCUAUUCG